rnacentral:hammerhead_ribozyme from 1 species
AUCUGGCUGAAGAGUUCCAAAUGGGACAAAACUAGCGUCCUGGAU